CGUAUAACACAACUUGCUGGAUUGAUUCGAGACUAUGAAUAUAUCGGCGCAGGGGAAGUAUCGACUUAAUUGUUACUGCUCGUGUCACUCGAUGACAAAAGGUUGCCUCCUUUCCCUAUUCGCUAUAUUUAUAACCGUUGGAGUUGACAAAAGGCGUCGGGGUCUUCCUUUCGAAGGUGUUCUCAAAAGAUCCCAACGGUCGCUGAGUUCUCGACCUUGUUUACGAUUUUGACUUUUCCGGUAGUCGAAGCGAAGACAUGAUCAUGACAAAAACGACGGAUUUUAAUUGACUUACGGUAACCGCCUAAGGUUGUCGGAUCUAUGAUAAACUUAUCUAUAAGUAAACGGUUUUUGUGUGGGAUCACUGGACGGAAACCGUUAUGAAUUUUACCGUCGAGUGCCGCUACAGGUCCAUUCGCAUUAGGCAGAAGGCUCCUAAUAGCAUUUAGAAACCUCUCCGUCUUCUCGCACACUUGCUCGAAGUGCGAGGAGUAUCCCCUGGCAUUGUCAAGUGUUACCCCCAGAUAUCUUAUCGCUUCUUUGGUGGUGAUCUCCCCACCACCUACGUCCAGAUUAAAAACUUUAGGAACUCGUUUCCCGGUCAACAAAAUAACUUCGGUUUUCUGCAUCGCCAGCCGAAGACCCGCGUCAUUGCACCAAUCAGCCACUAUCUUGACCAGUCCGCGGUCCCUGUCCCCGAUCUCUUGCGUCUUCCUUGUCGUGAUGACCAGUGCCAAGUCAUCCGCGAACGCGAACGCGUUAAUCGAAUCCAGUGCCAUCAGGAGGCCGUCGUAGACCAAAUUCCACAAUAAUGGCUCUAAGACUGACCCCUGAGGCACCCCCGCAUAAAUAUUCCUCUCUACUUUCCCUUCCUGGCAGUGGAUAACUAUUCUUCUAUCUGAAAGAUAGUCGUCUAAAAUCUUCAGCAACUGGCCUGGUAAACGUCUUUCCUUGACUUUCUCCAAUAUCCUCUUCUACCUCAGCGUGUUGAAGGCGUUCUUAAUGUCCAGAGCGACCAAAACGCAGAGCAACCAUUUUCUUUUGGACCGCUCCGCGAUCACACAAGCUCUACUCAAUGCGUCGAUCGUGUACCUUCCUCUUCUGAAUCCAUAUUGUUCUCUUACACGUGUGCUGCCAGACUUUGCUCAACGCCGGCAGUAUACUUAUGAGUCUAUAGGAAGAUAACAACAGCGGAUCCCUUGUCGGUUUAGGCAAAAUCACCCUCGCCACCUUCCACACCUCCUUCCACUCCUGUAUAUACUGUUAAACAAAUCCAGGAGCCGCCCAGGUCGUUGCUCAACGAUGAUCUUAACAACCUGCCCAGAGACCCCUUCCACACCCGCGGCCUUUUCGGAUCAUACCUCUUCAUUGCGAUCCGCAGAUCUUCGUCCAUUACCCGCAGGUCAUAUGGAUCCUUGUCCUGCGUCCAUGGGAUGCGAGCACCGUGUCCUUCCUCCAGUUGUUUUCCUCGACCAGUGACGAAGAAGUCGACCAGAAUCCUCGCGACUCUGCCCCUGUUAAGGCUCUCCGGAGGUCCGCUUCGUGUCAUUUUCGCCCUUACUACUCGAUACAGCCUCCCCCCGGGGUCUUGUUCCAGAGUCGCGUAGAACUCCUUUCACUUCUCUUCUUUAAUGUGCACGAUCGCACUUCUCAGCCUCUUUCUCGCCUUCUUAAAUUCGCUUACCAGGCCAGUUGUCUCCACCAGCUGUCACUGCCUUCUGUGCUCUUCUCCUUAAUUUCGGAGUUGCCCGUCUCAGAUCGGACAACUCAUCGUUCCACCAAAAACUUAUGCUCUUCUUGCCGCACGGAGGUAAGAUCCUCUUUAAUUCCUCGGCACACGUGCGUUCCAAUCCUUCCUCGAAUCGAUCUCCGCGUGUCGCGUCAUCAUAAUCCGUAAAAUUUGUCUUAUCAUCCAGCUUUGUCAGGAAAUUUCCUUCGUUGAUGUUCUUCGUCGAGAACUUAAAACCAAGGCUAUCCCCCGCUCGUCUUGAUGUUAAAAAGGGCUUCGAAGAAAUUCCACCCCCGAUAGUCCUUGCUGAGGAUUGGUAAUUGGAUACGGAGAAGAGCUACGCGAUUCCGAACUUCCCCGCAGGGCUCUUCUGCCUUAGUAAAGAAGGCGUUCUGUAAGAAGGCGUCAGCUUUGGAAUUUUUUAAACUUCGUAGCAAAUGGAGGGAACAGGCCUUUUAGUCCAGGUAGGAAUCGUCGAUGAUAGAAAAAUAAUCCUUGACUAAUUAGUUGUGCUGCCUCACUUCGUCGGAAGCGAAACCUUUCUUCCUACAGCAAAAUUCGUGGAAGAGAGCUGCAAAAUGCUUUAGGAAAGAAGGUGUUAGGCAUUGUUAAACGUAUCGUUUGCAACAAAAUCGAGAAUGAAAUAAAUGUACCACGCUGGAACACAUGAGCCAGUAUGAAGUUCCGCAUAUAUUUGUAACGUUCCCCAUUAAUUUUUUAAUCUACCGGAAGUUUACAUACAUGCGUCACAGGUCACGUGUUGGUAGAAGGAUACAGUUUUGAUUUCCACCACUCUAAAUUUUCUAUCCUUGCUAGGAAAGGUGUUCUGAGCUACCUUUAACUCCCACUGAUUAGGAGGAAGGGGGUUUUGGAAUAGUACUAUAUAUCCUACCCUUAGAUGCGCAUAUGUUAUUUGCCACUUGUAACGUUUCUGGAGGUACUCAAAACAGUCCCUAGACCAAUUUCUACACACGCUGGUAGAACGUUUACAGGACUUUCCAACGAAGUAAUGCGUUCAUCUGCUAUUCCCCCACAGAGGGCACUGGCAAUGCAUUCAUGGAGCCCCUGGAAAGUGAGCGGACAUGAGUACUUUCAGGCAACCUGGGCAUACAAACGUUCCAAUGGACGAAAGUUAAGACUGAUCCCUAUUUUACAGAAGAGACUCACAGAGAUCCCACUCGUCGACUUUACAACUGAGAGCUUUAUAGCGUGAUUUUUCUGCCUGUUUGCUGACGAGUGCUUUGCUCCGCUUUCUGGCCAACAAUGAAUUGGCUGUCCCAACUCGGAAUUCCUUUAGUUGUUUGCUUAUUCCUCGAAAUUCCUGCACGCUUCCGUCUAUUCCUUCUAUAACUGCGCGUCAUAUCUCCGUGUGAUGGAGUGGACUAAGAUUGGAUCGCACUCGUCGACUUUAUAAUCCAAGUUACCAAAGCGACGUCUAUGUGAACGUCACGGUAAAUAGUCAGAGGCGAUUUAAUUUGUCGUGAUGUAUAGUGGUCAGCCUGAAUAACCUAUGUAGCAAUGAAGAAAUUGAUGACCUUCAUUAUUCUCCUCGUGAUUUCUUAAUUAUUCCCUAACACAUUGUGAUUAGACACUGCCAUGCGUAGUUCAUUUUUGAUAGACAUAAAUAAGUAUUGCAAACGCAUCGAAUUUUUCAGAGCUUCAUUUUCUAUCACUGCUGUUUUAAAUAAAUCCACAAAACCUUUUAACCGUGAAAAUCGACUCGAAAUUUCAGCAGUCUUUGUUCCGAAGGAGCUUUUAGAGUUAUACGUAGGCCUCCACUCGACGCCGAACAUUAGAUUUUACACAAAACAAAUAUACAAGGGCAGUAUCUUCUCUAUACUGAGGGCAAAUGCCCAUAUUGGCGCAGUGUACAAGACCACCGAUUCCCAGACACAGUAAUAUAAUUUCCUCACAGUGCCGGUGGGUCCGUUAACAUUCGAUGUAAACACAACGAAACAGUUUAUGUGAAAAGAUUACAGUUAUUAUGAAAUAAUUAGCGAUGAUGUUGAGAAUCAAUGGCGAUGUGAAUAAUUUUUGCUCGUCGUUGGAUACUCGCCGACUCGAUUUACGCUCGAGCCGCCGAUCAUGGCCUAAAAUACAUCGAGCGUCGUCAAUAAGAACAUCGAAAUUACUUGAACCACGGUCGACUACUUAAGGAUGACUGAAAAACAGAUGCAACGAUUUGGGCGACUUGUCUUUAACAUGGGCAAAACCUUAGACAUAAGCAAAGCGAACCGGCUGCUGUUGAGAAAAACUGGGUAACCGGUGGCCCGCUCAGAUAAUGCGUACUAGGAAACAUUGUUGAAUUCUGUAGACUUAGCGGAUUUGUCAUCAUUAACGUACUUCAGUGUCCCAUAAUUCCUGAGGCUUCAUUCUAGAAAACUUCUCUGCGAUAUAAUUCUACCCUCCUUCUACAACCUUCCCAAUGUUGUUAGUCUUGUUGGCAGCGAAGUACUCAAUCUGUCACUUUAUAUCGGCGAGGAAAAGAGUCAUUAGCUUUCUCGGUCUUCUCUCGAUUCUUCAGUCUCGAUGUACGAGAUUCAUCCCUGAUCUCAACAUAGAGCAGGUGAAAUUUUCUUGACUUUUUUUCUCGAGCUUAUACAAUGCUUUACCAAACUGUUUCCCGUGAACUACUUCUCCAGUAGCUCGAUAGUUUUCGACCUAACCUUUUUGCAGUCAAGCAUUUUUACUUACUGAUUUUCGCUUCCCGUGCAUAUCAUUUCUCAUUUGCCGCAAGUUAACACCCAAGAAUAUCCGGAUCAAAGGAUUAAAUACAUGUCAAACAGAAAUCUGUGACAUACCGUACUCCCACUCAACGGCUUGCAGGCGUUGUAUACAGGUGUUGUUCGUUCGACGUCUCGGGAGAGAAAAAGCAAUCGUAGGAGGGAUCGUUUAGUGAUCGUAACGAUCAAUAUUGGCGUUACAGAUCUAUAUGAGAGCGAUCGAUACAUAAUUCAAUUAGCGGUUACGUCGUGACCCUAGCAUAGCAUCACAUUUAGCACGUACUAGACCAAUUUUUGGUUACUCUCCCCUCAGGUCUUACAAGGAGUAUACGAUUAGUAAUUUUACUUCUUAUGUAUACCUUAACAUUUUUAUAAUAGUGAAAAGAAUAUAAUAAUUAAGGAAAGGAUAUAUUGUUUGUUGUAUUAAACGUCAAAGCAAUAAAUUUAAUUUUUAAAGAAUUAAUUUCAUAAACACAUGGUUGACAUUUACAUACUAAACGAUUCACAUGCUCUUACAUAAUAUUUUUAAUGAUGUCAAAAUUCAAAUAAAAAAAAAUAACUUAAAAUAAACAUACUAUUUUAACAAUUGUUAUUACGUUACGUUGUUUACGUUACAUAUUUGUUUAUAAUCACAAAAGCAUAUUACAGUGGAUUUUAUUAAAACAUGGUAAACAUAAAUAUGGCUUAUCAAUACAACUAUUGCAAAAUAUUGCAAUUUUCAUGGUAAAACUCUUUACCGUUUGUGAACCAAAAAUGUUUACGUUAUUUUAAAAAAAUUCUAUAGCGUCUUCUUGCUGGAUUAAACUUAGCUUCCUUUUCUUUAAUUUCAUGACGAUUUCGCUUUGGUAUUAUGGGUAGAGUAUCAUUAUUUCAGGACAUCAGAUAUAUAGCUAAUUUUUUUCUAAAUUCGAAGCUUAAUGUUUCAUUAUAUGUAAGAUUAUUCUAUACAAUCCAUGCAUUUGUAAUAGCUGUGUUUAAGCAAACUUCAAAUAUAAUUUUUUUGUACUACUUGGUCGAUUUUCGUAAAGAACUGCACUACCAUGUCAUUCGAUCGGAGACAUCUACAUAAUAUAAAUACUGUCCAUUAUUGUAAUCUAUGACAAUUUUUGGUUUUAUGUGAUCUAACCUCCUUUCCGUACAAAGGCAGUUUCAUCAGAGUGCUUUGUUGAUAAUAAAAAAACAUCACGCUUGCCUUUCCAUUUUAAUAUAGUUAAUCCAUCUUUACUUUCAUUCGCAAUGUACUUAUCUCGCUGUAAUUUUUUGCGACCAGAUCUUUUGGAAUUUGGCAUUGGAACUUUUUAAUUUCAUCGCUCCAAUUAGAUGAAUAAUUUCGGUAAUUAAUUUUCUGGCUAUUUCGAUACUUGUGUACCAAUUAUCGAUACACAAUGACCCUUACCAAAUAUAUUUUAGCACAAUGUCAUAAAUACCUUUGCAAGCGUCAUUUUUUCUGCAUCUGCUCCUUUCCGCAAUAAAUUUGAAAAGCGAUUGUGAUUCCGGAGCCGCACAUAAUUUGAAUAUUUGUAUGCCCUGUUUGUGUUGAUUUUGCUUUAUAUAUUGUUUAAGAAUGAUGCGACUUUGAAAGGGAAUCAGAGAUUCAUCCACACAAAUAAUUUUGCCUGGAUCGUAACUUCUGAAAAUUUUCAUUUAACGUAUUAAUUAUUACCCUAAUUUUAUACAGACGGUUGUUCACAUUUUGAUUUUCAUUAUUACAAAAAUGUAAUAUUCACAAUAGGAACUCGAAACGAUUUCUUGACAUUAUUGAAGAGGGAAGACUUUGUACAUAAGCUGGAUUUUUGUACGAAUGUAGAUGAAUUUCAGGAAGCUAAAAAGUUUGAUUGCCACGUCGCAUGGGGCGUAUAUGCCCCACUAUGCGAUUAACGCUGUAUGCAUGAUAUUAAGAUGUCGAUACGUGACUCAAGAAAAAUUUUUUUUAAUUCUUCGUUUAAUAAUGAAAAUUCCAAAUGAAUGACUUGGACAGAUAGUUCGACGUGGAGCAUAUACAGUAUAAACGCGUAUAGAAACAGGUGCACCGCAGAAUUGACAUUCGCACGUUGAAGCUAUGCAAGAAGUGCAUAUAAUAUUAUAUUCCGCAAUAUAAAUCUAAUUUACACGCAAUUUCUUCAAUUAUUUACAAUUAUCAUCGCUCGCCAUAACAGAGCAGCAUUAAUUUUCGUACAAUAGACUAAACAGAAAAUUUACACAAUUGUUGUAUCUUUAUAUAAAUGUGUCUCGUCGCAUUCUUUGGAUCCCGCAAAGCAUUUUCGUUGGUGUCAACGGGAAGAAAACACAGUUUGAGGAUCGGACGCUUGUACUCUGAAUCGGCAGUCUUAACAGUAACCACCCCGAUUACGUUAACCGCUCCGGGAUGAUAUUUGAUUAUUCGCGCAAGGUCCCACUUGCACGGAGAUGCAAGGACGUUUCGGAGAAGAACGAUACGACCAAAAUUAUCAAGGUGAUUCUUGAUGCGUCAUUUUGUGUGCUGUUGAAACGAGUAAAUAUAAUCAUUCCGCUACAUUUUCCAAAUGUUCUCGUAUAAUUCUGUCAAGAGUUGCCAACCAGUAGAACGCGAAUCGUGUACGUCGAGAAGAGUCGGUGGUGGAACUGUAGUGAUGGCCGUGCCGAUAAGAAAGUGACCCGAUGCCAGUGCUGUAUAAUAAUCGAUAUUAUCCGAAAAUGGGGCCAUCGGACGGGAAUUCAUGCAUGUUUCGAUCUGACACAAAACGGUAGUUAGCUACUCAAAAAAGAGAGUGUGCGCACCAAUUACUCGUUUUAAAUGGUACUUCGUGCUUCGAAUUCCAGUUUCCCACAGCCCGCCGGAAUGCGAAAAUGAAUAAAGUUGUGGAAUAAAAUUUCAUACUACUUGAUCAUUCGCGAGCUUACGGAACAGAGUCGCUGCGGUCGCAGCGGUCACUUCUUUAUCGGUGCCCUGGAAACUAGUUCCAUUAUCACUAUAUAUAGGGAUCGGUAAACUGCGACGAGAACUGAAACGAUCGUAGGACGCGAGAAACGCAUACACGUUGUAUAGGACCCUACCAAUUUGAAGUGCACAGCGCGAUUUGCUAUGUAUAUAAAACGACGUGACAUGCGUUUUUGUCGAUUUGUGAACGCGACCAGGGUUCAUUCGGACAGGGAUAGGGCCAGCAUAAUCCACGCCGCAAUGUAAGAAAACUUCCUUUGCACGAGUAACACGCACCGACGAAUGAUCUCUCACAAUUCUGACGUAACGGAAGAACGUGCCCGUAGCAGCCAUAAUUCUUGUCUCAAAUUUGACAACAUUAAUUGAGGGCCUACAUGUAGCAGCUUCAUAUGCAGAAGGUUAAUGUAAAACGAAACUAGAGGAUGCGACGCAAGUAUAAUGGUAUGUUUGGUUUCUUAUGAAGCCGCCCUCCAACGCGAAUCAGUCCUUUCGGAUCGGGAUACUGGUUUAGAGAAAUUAAUGGGCUUUGACGCGGAAGAGGAAGCUUAUCUCUCAGAUGCUGCAAUUCGACUGGAUGCCACACUCGAACAAUUCUCCGAUUGACACUAUUUUGCCGAUAAAGACAAUUGGGAUAGUUAUGGGACAACUAAAGUUUUCCGAUGAAACGUAACAUAUAUGCAGUCACGCGAAGAAGCUUGGGACAACUAGAGAAUCCCUCAAAUCCAACGGUUUUAGCGAACUUAUCGUAUUAAAAACGACAGGUACAUGUUCCUUCAAAGAAACCGCUGUCUCGAGCUGUAGUAUCCCGUAAGGUCACGAAAUCGAUGACGACUUGAGCCACCUAGGGCCAUUUCGCCUUAAUAAGUGACUCAUAAAAUGCGGGUCGUCCAUUCCGCGAGGGGCACAGUCAGUGGGAUUUUCCUCAGAGUGAAUAUGGUGCCAUUGAAAUUGUGGCAUGUUUCCUGAAUAUCCACGGCGCGGUUUGCGACAGACGUUUUGUAGCGAAAAGCGGGUUGACUUAACCAUGUGAGUGUAAUCGUGGAAUGGGACCAACCAUGCAACUCGCAUUUAAAAUCGCCGAAAGAAGCUCAUCUGGAUGCCAUCAAACGAGAAAGAAGUAAAACUGCACAUAGUUCAAGUCACUUGUUAAUGAUCUGAACGGAGCCACUUUAAACUUAGCAACGAGAAGACAGGCGACAAUAUUGCCGUUGUCGUAACGCGAAAGUAAACAAUUACCGUGCGGCUUUGUUUUAAACAUUUGCAUGCCGUGUCCUGUCCAUCAAGGCAGAACCAUAGAACAAAGAGGAGGAAGUUGAGUACAAUACGUUGUUCACGUGUCGCGGAGCUCGUUCGGGAUGAUAUUGACCCGACCACGCUUCUACAACCAGAGAUGUUGCAUCAGAAUUUUCGACACGACAAUAACAGGAGCAGUCCAAACCAGUGGAUCAGAAAAUAUUACGAUCGUCGAAAGAAUCUCCGAUUUGAUUUUUGGAGUGACGUUAUUAAUAAUAAUAUCGAAACGAUUCCAAUUUUCUCGGGAUUCCAAUUUAUAUCAGGGACCUUUAAAUUGUCGUCGUGUAACAACGCUUUACUGGCUGCGAGACCGUGAUCCGAAGGAUGAAUAUCAACAAUUAAUGCAAGGCAGUUACUGGUCCAUUUUCGCAAUGUAAACACAUCUUCUCUCAACAGAACAAGCACGUGAUCACAAGUUUGACGUACUAACUGUGGAUCGUCCGCACCGAACGCGCAGUCAUCCACGUAAAUUUGAUUGCGAAGAACUAGCGAAUAGAGAACAUUUCGACUUUCAUCUUUUGCGAGUUCUUGUAGGACACGCAUUGCGAGAUAAGGAGCGCAAGCAGUAUCGUACGUAACGGUCAGAAGUCGAUAGUGUCGCAAUGGUUUCGAUGGAGAGGAUCGCCACAAAAUCCAUUGAUAAUCAACAUCCUUGAAAUCUAUAAAAGUCUGUCGGUAUAUCUUCGCAAUGUGUGCGAUAAAGUAUCGGCAACGGUGACAUCGAAGAAUUACUGCGGCUAAGUCUGCUUGCAAAUUGGGAACGAUGAAUAAGUGAUCAUUUAACGAUUUACCACACCCCGUUUUAGAAGAAGCGUUGUAAACUACUGGAAGUGUGAUAUGGCGUUACGUUCACGAAUGGCUACGUAAUAGAGUAUGUACAUGGUAUGAAGUGAUGCAGCUGGUGAAGAAUCUUUUACUUCAACCAUAUAGCAAGUGCUCCGUACUCGCAUAAGAAUGCAGAAUAUUCCGCUGAAUGCUCAGCAUUUCGUUGUAAACGAUUUUCCUGUCGUAGAAACAUGUUCGUCACCGCGGAAAGUGAAGCUCCAAUAAUGAUGUUUUGAGCCGCAGGCACGUUCACCGUACCCUUUCGCAAACCAUCUAAAAGAAACAAUCCAUACUGAUCCGCACCGGUAACUAGAUCUAUUGGAUCCGAACUAAAGGGGUUUUCGUCCGCCAAUUCUAGAUCGCGAACCUAAUCGAAAUGAGAGACCUUGAUGUCGGUAAUCACGCGACCUAAUAGGUAGAUCUACAACGAACGCAACACUGAAUGGAUCGAACUGCGAUCAACGUCUAAAAUUUCGGAAAAGAUUCGCACUCUGCUCUAUCAAGGCUCGGUCGUUUCUACAAUUUCCGAGAGUUUAACACAACGACUCCCACGCUCUCGCGUCUCAGUAUGUAUCACUGGAAUUGAUAAUGACGCGGUCUCUUGUUGCUCAUUAACUACGUUUACCAGCGUUUCGUGUAAAAUUGAGUCUGUACACUCCAUGACUGUUUACUUUUAAACGACGAGCAUUGUAUAAUCAUGUGAUUCGCUUUACAUCGUUCACACGUCCUCUUUGCGACCGCGGCAUCGUGUAACGACACCAUGGCACGAAAAUGACUUGAUUGGUUGCAGCCGAUUCCGCAAUCCAUGAUGCUGGUACUGAUGCGGCAGCGUGAUUAAUUGUAACGCGCGUAUUCGAAAUUGCAAAAACGUAUCUAGAUCAUUAAAUUUCAGACAAACUCGUACUGUUACAUAGUUUCAACUUCGAAGGUUUACGCGAUGCAGAAUCUGGUGUUUUUACUGCGAAGAAAACAAGUAUGUCAUCCCACGUGUCAACGCGACGUUCAAUAUCGUUUAAGGUGUUAGACAACAUACUGACUUCGUCGCAAUAGCUUCGAAGUUGAUCGGCCGAUUCAGAACGAAGUUGUGGAAAGUCAUACAAAAUAUGAAAUGCGUUGUCACUAACAGCUGCGUGCUUUUCGUGACCUGAAGAUCCCACGCGACACUAAAUCCCAUAUCGGUUAUCGCAAUGUUCGUAACGAGGUCAUUAGCCUCGCCUGAUAAGCAGGGCAACAAAGGCUAAAAACGAGAUACGUUGGGCAGGCUUUGGCGAGCGAUGAUCUUGGCUGAAAAGCAAUCUCGGAAGCUUUCCCAUUCACUGAUGGGUUCAGAAAAUUGCGGAAGACGAACCGUAAAUAGUCGAUCCAAAACGUCACCGGGUUGCGAGACACGUCCUGUUGGUGGAUGCGUCGAUGCAGUACCGGAUGAGCCGGUAGCCUUCAAACAGGAAAGACUUUCUGCUACGAAAUCCGAUGUAUCCAGGUAAAUCUCGUGUAAGGCCAAGAAGCCAUCCUUCGUGAAGUAAUCCAAACUGGUACGCUUAACUUCCAUAGCAGUAGCAAUGAUUUUCUUGUGCAAAAUUUUGCACUCGAUGAUGAAUUUGCUAAGCCGUUCCAGUCGAUUUCAAACGGUGGCAGCAAUUAAUUUGGUUUCGCCAACCUUCUUGAAAUUGUCGGAGGCAUUUAAUACAACACGAGCUGCGUCGUUAUGUUGUUGAAAAAACGUCUUAAGAUUACUCAUGAUGAUUCCUUAGCGGUUGAUAUGUCUUAUAAUUCAGAUUUCUGGCUUGACCCCUUAACAAUAAUAAACGAUAGAUUGGUAGAAUUCAAAAAACACGAUGGUAGAUGAUAGAUGCCAACUGACUGUUAGACGAAUUAAAAAGAGACAACAUAAAUAUCAACAACAAAUUAACGUAGAAUGAUAAUGUUUUCUUAAUCUGGGGAAUUUUCCUCGAUAUCAACGAAAAGCAUCUGGAAUCUUUUUCGAAUUACUGCCGGAGCACCCCACAGCGUCUCCUCCCGUACGCGAGUUAUCCUUAUUAUUUUGGACGUGUGCAGAGGCGACCGUCAUUUUCCAAAUACGGUGCCACCGGGUUAUGUGUGGUUCGGCAAGAUGUAUACGUCUUUACCCACUAAAAACACUUCCUCUUCCGCUCCUUCAACCAUCGCAACCCUGGAAUCACCUGCCGGCACACACUUGGUCAUCUUUCAUGUUGCACCUUUCACCCAAUCAACUUCUUCCUCCAACUCUUCUUCUUCACCUUUCUAAGUCCUUCUCCUGGGCUUGUCUCACCAAUAUAAUUUUUUAGCAAAAUUCUUGGAAUUUCUUCCAGCAUUCUUCCUUACUGACAACCACUUCUACAGAGUUGAUAGUUAUCAGUAUAUCGCCUACAUAGUUCUCUAAUAUGAUCUUUUCAUAAGUCCAGUUGGGGUAGUUAACCUCUUCCCGUGCCAUUUAGUUCGACGAAACUCGGGCCCAAGCGAUAGACAUCGACGCGCGCUAAACUGACCAAACUGAUGCUCGUAAAUAGUCGCAAUACGAACCGAAAUGUAGAUGCCCGCGAUACCUAUGAUAUAGUUAAUUUUACGCAAUAAUGCUGUUGAGGAAAUAAACUCUUACGCUUUUACUUUUAUAGAUAUUAUAAAUUCGUUAUAUUUUGUCAUAAAAUUAUAUAAUUAUAUAAAAUUUAAUCAUAAAACUGAAUGAAUAUCUAAAAAGGAAAUACGUAAAACUCUACAAAUCCUCCAUAGUAUGAUACCUCUUAAAACAUUCUGGCAGAUGUAAAGCCACUUUACAUUUCGCGCAUUCCCACUUCGUUGCGCUCCGAAUUUUAUGUUUAUAACAGACUUUGCACGACCCUGUUGGAUGCUUAUUCCGAGGUGUCGGAUCUAUAUUUUGGGGGAAAUGAGCCUGUAUUUUCGAGCUAUCGCGGGGAGACGCGGUCGUUAGAAUACGCGUCAACGGGAGUCGUAAAUUCCCGUUACGAUUAGGAUAAUCGACACCACGAAUAGUUCGAUCCCCGUAUUUCGUUUAGGAUAAUAGGGGUGAUUCAGUUAGUAUAACACUGGUCGUCACUUGGUUAUAAUAGUAUAUAUUUCCAACAGUUAGUCUACACGAGUGAAUAGAUAUACAAUCAACAACCUUAUCGCACGCAAUUAAUAUCGAUGUGUACAAUAUAGAGCACGGAUCUUACAAUUGAGUUUAGUCUCUUAAUGAACGUAGCACGCUAUGAUACUUAAUGGAAUACGCGAAUGUUUGGCAAUGUCGCGGGCUGAUUUGAGUUAUACUCCGUUGGCGUUCUGUGUUCCGAGUUAGACGUUACUGUGUUAAGUUACUGUGUUAAUGUUUCGGUUUCUCCGCUCGCGCUGAGCCAUAAUAUCUUUUGAUAUUUUCGGUCCUCUACCAGGAAUUGCCGAUACAUUUUUUCGAUGUCACCAGUAAGGACGUAUUGAUGAGAACGGAAUCUGAUUAGUAUACAAAAUAAAUCUUCCUGCAACUUGGGUCCUGUGUGGAGUGUAUCAUUUAGUGAGAAUCCGGUAGUGCUUGGUGCCGAUCCAUCGAAGACUACACGGAGUUUAGUGGUUUAACUCGAUGCUUUGAUUACGGCAUGAUGAGCUCCGCCACCGAUUCUUUUCUAUUUUGCGUCGGAAGCUGUAAAUGUGUCACGACCGGCACACUUCAUAACUGAUAGGCUGAUGACGGAGGUAAAGAUGUGGCGGCACUCGGCGACAAUGUAUAUCGCCGAAGCGAAAUCCCUAAUGAGCCAUCAAUAUCCCAACGGUCCUUACGCCGAAUGUUCGAGAAGAAGGGGUACACAGCAACGGUCGCGGACACCUAACAAACGCGUGGAUAGUGCUGAUAUUGAGGAGUGACAAAGAAAAAACAAUCGAAUCCGAUCGAAAGUUAAGUUGUAAGAACUUCAGACUUGGAAAGUCACAGCUGAAGUUCGGAAGUAAACUGUCAAUAUUGUAAAUAAAGUGUUAAGAAAUAAACUCUCUUUUUUAUUUU